rnacentral:misc_RNA from 1 species
UGAAAAACUUGGAAGAAGAUUGAAGAUAUUGCAUCUUUGCAGGUCAAGCUUAGGGUUGCUACAAGGAAGUCAUCGCCUGGGAAUAAUCACUACUUCCCAGUUGGCUUAUUUGUAUGAAGCUUUCGCCAAUCAACUUUGUACCCAGUCACUGAAACACUUCUCCUUGUAGUGCAUCUCUCUUAGGUGGAAGAAGCUGAUGUGAUG